ACCUGCUUGGUGACAAGCAGCUGAACUGUCAGAAGUCAGCAGAGGUCAUAGUACGAAUGGGUCUAGAACCACUCGGAAGGA
rnacentral:ncRNA from 1 species